rnacentral:tRNA from 1 species
GCCCGUCUAGCUCAAUCGGAUAGAGCGUCAGACUCUUAAGGCAGGUUCUUCGGGUGUUCCCGGGUUGUAGACAUGGUCGUGUGAUCUGAAGGCUGCGGGUUCGACCCCCGCGGUGGGCU